GUGCUCGCUUUGGCAGCACAUAUACUAAAAUUGGAACGAUACAGAGAAGAUUAGCAUGGCCCCUAUGCAAGGAUGAUGCAAGAGGGAAGAGAUAUGGGGAUAUAUGUAUAU
ensembl:snRNA U6 U6 spliceosomal RNA